ACGAACGCUGGCGGCGUGCCUAAUACAUGCAAGUCGGGCGCGGGAAGCGGACAAUCACCCUUCGGGGUGUGCGUCCGUGGAACGAGCGGCGGAUGGGUGAGUAUCACGUGGGCAACCUGCCUGUAAGAUUGGGAUAACUCGCGGAAACGUGAGCUAAUACCGAAUGAAGUCUUUCACCGCCUGGUGAAAGGAUGAAAGAUGGCUCUUGAGCUAUCACUUACAGAUGGGCCCGCGGCGCAUUAGCUAGUUGGUGGGGUAAAGGCCUACCAAGGCGACGAUGCGUAGCCGACCUGAGAGGGUGAUCGGCCACACUGGGACUGAGACACGGCCCAGACUCCUACGGGAGGCAGCAGUAGGGAAUCUUCCGCAAUGGACGAAAGUCUGACGGGGCAACGCCGCGUGAAGUGAUGAAGGUCUUCGGAUCGUAAAACUCUGUUGUCAGGGAAGAACAAGUUGUGUUCUAACAGGACAUGACCUUGACGGUACCUGACCAGAAAGCCCCGGCUAACUACGUGCCAGCCGCCGC
rnacentral:rRNA from 1 species